UUGACAGCUCUGGGGACUGAAAUAAUCUUCUUCUCCCCAGAACAGGUGCAGCACUGGCAGGAGCAGUACAAUCUUCCAAUACUGCCCCACCAAACACUGACCUGGAUGGACUACCUUUAAAAAUGAGAAGAUAAAUCAGCCUCCAUGUCCAUUCAAUCCUUGGCCUCU
rnacentral:sRNA from 1 species